rnacentral:lncRNA from 1 species
AAAACCCACGGGACCAACACGCGAAAAAAUAAUUCACUAAGAGAAAAGAUUACAAGGUGAUUACCGACUCCACGGACUCUACCUCUCUUAACCUCCUAUGAAUCUUCGCGCUACCCUCCGAGUUGUCCACGCCCUCACGUCCGAAUCCACGAACGCCUCUACUUCGAAUCCACGAAGCUUCAAUCACGCCGAAUCCACGACGCCACUCGAAUCCACGAGCCCACGAUCCGAAUCCACGAACCGCCGUCAAAUACGCCGAAUCCACGACGCCACCAUGAAGAAUAU